ensembl:lncRNA
CCCCACUCCUGAACCCCUGCCACCAUGGCCAAUGCUCUAGUUCUACAUCUUGGUUAUGUCUUUGAUAAUAAAUGAUGAUUUGGACAUCAGUUUCUCAUCUAUAAAAGUGAAAGGAUUUCAUAAGAUGAACAAAGUUGACCAAAAAAGGAAAGAGGAUGUUAUCAGGGCUAAGGAAAAAACAGCCUUGAUCUGAUCCUGCCAUUCUGGAAAACAAUUUGAAGCCAUGCCUCCAAAGCUAUGAAACUAUACAUGCCCUUUGAUCCAGCAAUGUUGCUACUAAGUCUAUACUUCCCUCUACCCCCGCCACAAACAAACAAACAAAAAUCAAAGAAAUUGGAAAAGGACCCACAAGUACAAAAAAUGUGUUUAGAAGCUCUUUUUUGUGGUAGUAAAAAUUGGGAAAUGAUUGAACAAGUUAUGGAAUAUCGAUGUGAAGGAAUAUUAUUAUGGUAUAAGAAACAAUUAAGGGGAAGAUUUCAGAGAAAUCUGUGAAGCCUUUCAUGAACAGAUACAAAGUAAAGUUUGCAGAACCAGGAGAACAUUUUAUUCAAAGGAAACAACAUGUAACCUUGAAGGACUUAGGAACUCUGAUCAACAAUAUGUCUGAACACCCCAACCCCAGAAGCUCCUCCUGUAAAAUGUUCCCCAUCCAUCAAAGUGUAGCCCCAUGGUUAAUGUAGUGUAGAAAAUCUUGACCAACAAAUUAGACUACUCUUAGCCUUGAACAUUAUUGGAAAUUAAGUCCUCACACAAUUUCUGGUAGGAAGGGAAGAGAAUAGAAGGGAAGGCCCUUAACUCAUUCUUCCUUAACUCAUGUCAUGCCACAUACCUUGUGUGAGGAUUGUUUCAAUGUUUUCUAAGAGUAGAUUAAGGGAGAAACAGUUGGACCAAUUUCCGCAUUUUGACCUUUAUGUACCAGGGAGCACAUGAUAUCUUCCACUACAUAUUCUGACUGGGCGAGCCUGAUCCUAGAUUUGGGCUCCUUCUUUUGUGUUCUUUUUCUUUUUCUUUCUUUCUUUCUUUCUUUCUUUCUUUCUUUCUUUCUUUCUUUCUUUCUUUCUUUCUUUCUUUCUUUCUUUCUUUCUUUCUUCCUUCCUUCCUUCCUUCCUUCCUUCUCUUUCUUUCUUUCUUUCUUUCUUUCUUCCUUUCUUCCUUCCUUCCUUCCUUCCUUCCUUCCUCUUUCUUUCUUUCUUUCUUUCUUUCUUUCUUUCUUUCUUCCUUCCUUCCUUCCUUCCUUCCUUCCUUCCUUCCUUCCUUUCUCUCUCUCUCUUUCUUUCUUGCUUAACUUUAUUUGCCUCAAUUUCCUCAUCUGUAAAAUGAGCUGGAGAAGGAAAUGGCAAACCACUACAAUAUCUUUGCCAAGAAAACCCCAAACAAUGCCACAAAGAGUCCAACAUGACUGAAGUAACUCAACAACAAUACCCAAACAGCACUAUUUCAGGGGAAGGAGGAAAGGGGGAGGCAGAGGAGAGAGACAGAGAGACAGAGAGAAAGAGAAAAAAACAGAGAGAGAGACAGAGACAGAGAGAGAGAGAGAGACAGAGAGAGAGAGAGAAAGAGAGAGAGAUUCUUCCCUUGUAGGGUAGAGAGGCUGGAAGCUAGAAAAGUAUCACUUCUCAAAAUUUGCUUGGAGGUACUUAAUAUUAACUAAUGCUCUUGGGAGUGCCUUAAUAACAGGGACUGUCUUUUAUCUUUCUUUGUAGCAUUUAUAGAAGGUUACCUAGCACAUAAUAGGUGCUAAAUAAAUACUUGCCUGAGUAUUGCUUGCCCUGUGUA